rnacentral:sRNA from 2 species
AUACCCCAUGAUGCUCAGGUCCGCCGCAUCUCCUGGGUCGUGGGGUCGGUCGAUCGGCGUGCAGUUUUGCGGUUCCUCGUGCCGCUUUGCAUGCCGAUCGGCCCCCUA